rnacentral:snRNA from 10 species
GUUGUUUUGCUCACUUCAGCACUACGUGAACUAAAAUUGGAAUGAUACAGAGAAGAUUAGCAUGGCCCCUGCACAAGGAUGACAUGCAAAUUCAUGAAGCAUUUCAUUUUAAA